rnacentral:rRNA from 1 species
AGUGAACGCUGGCGGUAGGCCUAACACAUGCAAGUCGAACGGCAGCACAGUAAGAGCUCGCCCUUACGGGUGGCGAGUGGCGGACGGGUGAGGCAUACAUCGGAAUCUACUUUUUCGUGGGGGACAACGUGGGGAAACUUACGCUAAUACCGCAUAUGACCUACGGGUGAAAGCAGGGGAUAUUCGCACCUUGCGCGACUGAAUGAGCCGAUGUCGGAUUAGCUAGUUGGCGGGGUAAAGGCCCACCAAGGCGACGAUCCGUAGCUGGUCUGAGAGGAUGAUCAGCCACACUGGAACUGAGACACGGUCCAGACUCCUACGGGAGGCAGCAGUAGGGAAUAUUGGGCAAUGGGCGCAAGCCUGAUCCAGCCAUACCGCGUGAGUGAUGAAGGCCUUCGGGUUGUAAAGCCCUUUUAUUGGGAAAGAAAAGCAGCAGGUUAAUACCCCGCUGUUCUGACGGUACCCAAAGAGUAAGCACCGGCUAACUUCGUG